rnacentral:misc_RNA from 1 species
UUUCCGUAGGUGAACCUGCGGAAGGAUCAUUAACGUACAAUAUGUGAUGGACAUGCCAGUUCUGUCCCUGACCCAAAAGUCGUGCACGCCCUAGUGUGUCCUCUUGCAGAAAAAUCCCUCUCAACCUCUUUGCAUCACCGCGGGUACACCCUUUGAGAUCAUCUCGUAGAGGGGCUCGCGUGUACACACAAACCCCCCUCUUAAAUGUAUAAAAAGACCACAUUAAUGCAAUCAAUACAACUUUCAACAACGGAACCCUUGCCUCUCGCAUCGGUGAAG